GUCUUCUGCUGGUUCCAUCUUCUACUGGUUUUUUCUUUUUUAUUUUAUUUUCAUUUUCUUUUCUUUUCUUUUCUUUUUAUUUUCAUUUUACGUAGCAUUUUGAGGAUUAAAUCAAGGAACACAACAAAGGAGAAUACAUUAAGGUGGAGAAAUCUUGGGGAAAUCAUAACCAAUCUACAAAAAAGGGUUUUAUCUAUAUCUUUGUAUUUUCUCCAUUAUUUAGCCAUAUUUUUAAAACAUUGGAUGAAUAUUCUCCUUGAUUAUCAUUUAUUUAACAUGGGCUAAGUAUUUUGUUGGGAUUUAUAGUAGUAGCUUGACCUAUGUUUAAUUAAUUCUCAAUAUUUGCUAUUUGAUAUUAAAUUGCCCAUUUUCAUGUGUUUCUUUUAUUGUAUUUAUUGCAUUUUCAUUUAUGUGGCCAAUGAAUGAAUGUGUUUCGUGAAGUGUACAUCGUUCGAGAGAAAAUUGGGCAUUUUAAACCAAAUGGUAGAAACCCUAGGUUUGUGUAAAGGGUAGAUAUAUACCUCUAGCCCUAGGUGACCCAAUGAGCUAUUUUCAUAACUAUUUAAUGCGGUUGUUUGGUUGUAAUCGACAUAAAGAUAUAAUAGGUUAAACCAAUCAAUUAGGAUUAAUUUCACUCGAGAGAGGUAAAUUACCUAAAAUUGGAAAAUCGGGUCUAACAUUGUAAAUGAGUAAUUCGUUAAUUGGCAUGUGGAGAAAUUAAUUAGGCGACGGUUAAGCGAAACCAUGAAUCCCAACCACGUUUUCCUCCAAAAUUCCCAAGAUUUCCAUAUUUUCUUAGUUUGUAUGUUUUUUCCUUAGUUUUUAAAAUCGACUCUUUAUUGUGUGUUUGUUUAUUUUCAUUGUUAGAAUUAAAUUGAUUAAAGUUGUGUAAUUUAAAGUAAACAUUCCUUGAGGGAUCGACAAUCCGGACUUAAAAGCUCCACUUUAUUACUUGAACGCGACCUGUGCACUUACGGUAGUAUUUUAGCGAACAACCAGUUCAAGCCAUCUCCUCUGCCUCAUGUUCACUCUUUCAGAGUGAAGAUGUACUUAAAGGCUCUUGUGAUCCGUAUAGAUGUCACACUUUCCUCCAUAAAGGUAGUGCCUCCAAGUUUUUUAAAGCAUGAACUCCUGCAGCUAGUUCUAGGUUAUGUGUAGGAUAAUUCUGCUCAUGAGGUUUCAACUGCCUCGAUGCAUAAGCAACUACCUUGCCUUGUUGCAUCAAAACAAAUCCAAUACCCUGUUUGGAUGCAUUAUUGUAGAUAAUGAAACCUUCUGAUCUUUCAGGUAUGGUUAACACUGGUGCAUUGACUAAUCUUCUUUUCAACUCUUCAAAAUUUUAUUCACAUUUUCUCGUCCGUUCGAACUUUAUACCCUUGCGAAUCAAUUAUGUUAGUGGUCUGGAUAUUUUGGAAAAUCCCUCAAUAAACCUCCUAUAGUAUCCUGCUAAACCCAAAAAGCUGCGAAUCUCUCCUACAUUGUUUGGCCUAGACUAGUUCAAUAUCGCAUCUACUUUACUAGGGUCUACAUCUAUUCCUUGUAAUGUGACCACAUGUCCAAGCAAUACCACCCGUUUCAACCAAAAUUCACACUUUUUGAAUUUUGUAAAAGGCCUUUCCUUUCUCAAGAUCCCUAACACAAUUUUCAGAUGUGUUUCGUGUUCUUCUUCACUUUGAGAGUAGACCAAGAUGUCAUCAAUGAAAACGAUGAAACACUUGUCUAAGUAUUCGUGGAAAACUCGAUUCAUCAAGUCCAAGAAAACUCUAGGAGAUUUGUUAAGCCAAAUGGCAUAACUAGAAACUUGUAGUGACCAUAUCCUGUUCUAAAGGCAGCCUUUGAGACAUCAGUGGGUUUGACCCUCAACUAGUGAAUCCUGACCUCAAAUCGAUCUUUGAAAAUACUUUGGCCCCUCGUAGUUGGUCAAACAAGUCUUCGAUUCUAGGUAGUGGAUACUUAUUCUUGAUAGUAAUUUUGUUUAGUUCUCGAUAAUCAAUACACAACCUCAUUGUCCCAUCACUUUUCUUAACAAAUAACACUGGCGCUCCCCACGGUGAUACACUGGGUCGAAUGAAUCCUUUUUCCAAUAACUCCUCUAAUUGGGCUUUCAAUUCCUGUAAUUCCUUUGGUACCAUCCUAUAAGGAGAUUUAGAAAUGGGCGCGGAGCUGGGAACCACAUUAAUCGUGAACUCCAAUUCUUGUUCUGGCGGCAUUUUAUUCAAAUCAUCAGGAAAGACAUCAAGACACUCUUGUACCACCUUAACAUCACUUACCUUUAGCUCUUUAUCUUCCUUAGCUACUAUUAACAUCAAGAAUCCCCUACAACCUUCUGACUUCAAGAGUUUUCUAGCCUUCAAUGUUGAAAUAAUACGGGGUGGAGAUUUUAUCUUAGUUACGGAAAGAUGAAGUUCUAUAUCUCCAGGCUGCUUAACGAUGACUUUCCUUUCAAAACAUAAAAUAGUUGGCGAUUCUUAGAAAGCCAGUCCAUUCCCAAAAUCACAUCAAACUCUUGCAUGUUCAAGACAUAUAAGUUCGUCUCUAAGGAUUUACCAUCAAUCUCUACCUUAGCUAUCUUCACUAUACGAUCUGCACCUAAACUUUUAAGGCAAUACUUACAUGUUCACUAGGUGCAUUAAGUUUGCUCACAAACUUAUGAGAUAUUAAAGAAUGUGUAGAGCCAGAAUCAAUCAAAACAUAGGCAGGGGUUUGAGAUAUAAGGAUAUCACCCGCUAAGACGUUACGGUCCUGUCUUCUUCCUGCUAUAUGAGUUCAUACACUCUAACUUGGCCUCUAGGGGGAUUCCCAGGCUUCUGUUGUUGUUGUUUCUUCUGCUUCUGCCCCUUAGGACAUAUUUUUGCCAUAUGGCCUAUUUUACCACAGUUGAAGCAUACACCGGUACCCAUGAGACACGCUCCAGCAUGACGCUUAUGGCACUUUCUACAAACUGGAUACAAUUGAUAAUUGUUUGUACUUGGGUCUCCUUUAUACUUCUUUACAAAAUCAUGUUUUCCUUUUCCCUUAUAGUCCUCUCAUUUCCACUUUUCUGGCUGUACAUUCUGCUUGUUCUCCCCACUAGUGCAACGCUUGAAAUUUGAUAAUUGUGCUAUUGUUAACACUUCAUGAUAGGUUCCUAGUUGAAGUACUACCAAUGCCUGCCUUAUAUCAUCUCUCAACCCUUCUUCAAAACGUCUUGCCUUUUUUUCCUCAAUGUCCACUUGGUUAAGGGCAUAAUGGGAUAACUAUUCAAAUUUAUACUCAGUUAAAGACAUUGACCGUUGAACUACAUUGAGAAAUUAUCUCUCCUUCUGAUGGCGGAUACUUGUGGGGUAGUACUUUCUUAGGAUUUGUUCUUUAAAUUCAUUACAUGUCCAGAUGUGUCCGCGGGCCCUCGACCUUGAGGUUGAGCCCUACCAACGCAUGGCACCUUUCUUAAGCAUAAAUGUUGCACAAAUAACUUUCCUAAAGUCGGGGCAGUGGCAGUCCCGACGGAUUCAAUAAAUACAUCAAUUCAUCUCUCCAUUUUCUGUGAAAAGGGGGACGGGAGUGGAGGGCGGCCCUACGCGCAGGCAACAGCAGCACAUCGCUUUUUGUUCAUUUCCACCCCGAAAACAUAGCCGCCAUAAUAAAAUAAGAAGCAGCCGAUACGGAGACUGUUCUAAUAAAUAAUGUUCAUGUGCCUGGAGCUGUGGGUUUCUUAGAUCUGGCAAAAGCGAAAGAACCCCUAACAUAAUUCGAAUGGAGGCUGAGCCCACUCUGGCCUCGCAGGGUAGGCCCUUGUGGUUGUGAGCUGGAGCUGCAGAAUUCAGGCACGGCCCGCCCGUCUGCUGCUAGGUCCGGGAAUGGCACCAGGCAAGGGCGCCGCUAUAAUCUUUCACUCAAAAACUCUCGAAGUUCAUCCAUCAAAGAUGAAUACAAGUCUUGGAUUUCACCAUUUUUAGACGGAAGAAGAAUUUUAAAAAAUUACCCUGAGUAGAAAACUUUUACUAAACUAUUUCCUUUUCUUUCUGGCUUCGAUUUUUUGUAAGAGAUCAAAAAUUCUUUCCAUUUCGACCAACCAAUCCUCUGCUUCCAAUGGAUCUAUACCACCCUCAAAGGUUGGGGGUUGUUUCCUGAAAAUUUCUAUCACAACAGCAGUAGUAUUCCUGGUGUCCUCUACAACCAUUGGUGUUUGCGGUUGAGGCGGCUGCACUGGUAGUGGUGGUGGUGCUUGUUGCGGUGUCGUCGUCUUUUGGACAAACGUACGCAUCAUAGCGAGAAAUUGUUGGGCAAACUGUGGGUCAACACCAUUAGUUUGGGGUUGCUGGGCUAAUUGGGACUGUUCGUCAUUGUUUGCUCUCCUACCUCGGGGUGCCAUGGCCUUAACAAAUAAUAUGAUAAUAUGUAACAGGCUGAAAGGAAAAACUAGUGUAUUUUAUUCAUAGAAUUUUCAUAAUUUCAUAAUGGUACAUAAGACAUACCCCACGUCCAAGCAAAAGAAAAAUCUACUAGGAAAAAGGAUCGCAAGGUAUACCAAGCGUCCAUGCUAACAUAGAAAAUCAUAUACUAGAGCAAGAAUAUAAACAUAAGACUAUAAUCUAGUAGUUUUUCCCAGUGCUCUCAUCAUGGCUUGGUUUUGGGUCCUCCGAAGGGUCUUCUUCCUUCCUAGGGUCUCUAGGCACAUACUCUAUUAUGCUGCCCUUACUGUCUACCUCUGGUAUUUCCUUGUGAUCGUUCCCAUUAGGCAUGAUACGAGGCCGACAUCGACAAUGAUCUGGUUCGUACUCUUCAGGCCUCUCAAUAACUCUAUAAUCCUCGUAUUGAUCCUUCAUUUUUCUCUAAGGCUCUUAAUAAGGUGUUCGACAGAUAUUUGUCGAUCAUACAUUUCAUCGAGUUGUUCCAUGAAAUCUUUCCAAUAUUCGGAAGGGUUCUAAGUAGAGGAAAAAAUGCGUCAUCUCUGUUAAACUCGUGUCCAUUUAGUUAAGCCCCUCGAUAAAUGGCCUCAGUAGCAUCCAAAUGCUCUACGAGGUUGUGGCUUGGGUUCUUUGUAUAAAAUCUAAGGAGAUGCAAGAACUUUGAUCGAUUCUGUUUUUUAAUCAUCUUUCUUCUUUCUUGGGCCGGACUUCUAGCCAUCUACGGAAGGCAUAAAAGGCUUACUUAUUAUCAUUAUUCGUAUUCAAGAUUUUCAAGGGAAUAAACUUACUCAAUUUAGAAGUUUUGAAGUUUUUCUAAAAUGAAAAUUUCUAAAAAUGGAGAUAUAUAUAUAUAUAUAUAUAUAUAUAUAUAUAUAUAUAUAUAUAUAUAUAUAUAUAUAUAUAUAUAUAUAUAUAAAGUGGAAUGUUCUUCUGAGUUUCUGAAAAUAAGUUUUAUAAAGAUGGAGUUGUAAUAUUGUUUUUCGUUCUAUUGGUUUGAAUAUCGCUUAAUUGAGUGGCUUCCAGGUAAGGAGGGGAGUCACAACGAACCGCUUAAAUCCCAAGCUUGCCUUAGACCGUUUAAGUCUUUUUGACAGAACCCUUCAGUUUUCACGAAUACCCAAGCCAAGAAAACUCAAACAAUAAAAUGGAUGGAAGUAAUUAUAGGCCCUUUUAUUAUUAUUAUAUAUAUUUUUAGUUAGUCUAUUAUUUAUUUAAGAGAUAUUCUAAGGUCAACUAUUCUCAUGGGUUGAUAACUUUUCUAACAAAAUCAUUAGUCUAAAAUCAUAUAAUAUCAUAAAAUUUUCAAUUUCAUAACUUGCAAUAUUAACAAUAAACAUAUAUUCAUAAAAUCACAAUUUUUUUAUCCAUGCUUUGCUAUAUUGUUACCGUCGAAAAAAAAUAAAAUCAUGAUCUCUAUUUUACAUGGCAAAGAACAUAUACUUAUUCAUUCGUGAUAAUCACAUAAAUUCUUAACAAUUUAGCAAGACAUUUAAUGUAAAUAAAUUACGUAUAUUUUUCUACCUGAUUGGGAGACUAAAGUUUGGACGAUUGUCAUUGCUCGUGGUGAACUUUUUAAACUUGUAACCAAUAAAUCUUUAUCUAACUAUUAGUUAUUUUAAUACAAUAACUAAUAUAAUAACUUAAAAUAACUUUAACUUAAAUUUUUUUUUCAUUUAUUAAAAAAAUAUUUUUUUUGUGAACAGUGACUUGGCGAACAGUAAUGCGAGUCACUGUUCAUUGACAUGAACAUUUCUUUUUUUUACAAUCUAUAGAAUCAAUUUUAUAACUCUGGGCUCUGAUACCACUUUGUGACAUCUAAGUUCUAAAACCCAAGGGACAUAAAAGAGAACUUAUUUAAGAUUCAUUUCAUAAAUUGAGAAAGUGAACUAAAAAAAAAAAUACUUGUUCAUGAUACUCGAAAUAAUCAAUUUGAAAGGAAAAUUCAUAAAACUUCAAAAUUUAUUUCCACCACCAUUACCAAGUCCAAGUUUCAAUCUUCCCAAUGCUUAGUUGCCUGAAAGGGGGAAAACAUAAGGGUGAGAAAAUCUCAAUAAGCAUAUACAUGUUCAUAAGUUUCUAAUCAUAUAACCUUUGGAAUCAUAGAACUUGUAUAGAGGAGACACGAAACUAUACCGAACUUAGGUGAUAUGAGUUUUACGUGCAUAGCUACUAGAACUUUGGUCCAAAGCUUAGAACAUACAUAUGGGUCCAUAAACAUAUUUCCAAAAGUGCAGCAUAACAACACGUAUAUACUUACAGUUGUGCGGGAAAAUAAAAGCAAUCAAAGAAAUUGGCUUGCUUGGUUUCCACUCCAAAGUUUUCUUGAACAACAUGAGUACUAAAGAUUUUCGUAAUGUGAAAUAUGGUUGUGUGUAAGAUGGGUUGUGAGAGAGAAUAGAAAAAGUGGGGUUUGAAUUUCUUGAAAAUCAUACACCUAUUUAUAGUAUACUGAUGAUGCAUAGGAUAAAUCUCAUAAUUUAUUUAAAUAAAUUUAAAUACUUAAAGAUAAUCUUAAUAUCUAACAAAACUUGUAAUAAUGUUGAAUAAUCAUAAUAUCCAAUAUAACUUUAAUAAUUAAAAUUAAUCAUAAUAUCAAUAGAAUUUGUGAUAAUAUUGAAUAUUUAAAGUAACCAUAAUAUCUAAUAGAAUCUGUGAUAGUUGAAUAUUUAAAAAUAAUGAUAACAUCUAACCAAAUUUAUUUAUUAAAACUUAUCAAAAUAUCUUAGAGAUUCUAUAAUUUUGAGAUUCAAAUAUUUGUGCCUUAAUCUCGAAAAUAUUAGACAUUAAUCAAUUAGGUCCCUAGACUAUACCGUCUAUGUGAUAAGGCCCUAAAUUUUAAUAUAAUGACUAAUUUUGAGGUAUGAGGUGUCAUACUCAGUAAGCGUACUGAGAUGUCUCAACUAGGUUGGCUCUUCAUUAGCGCACUCAUCAUUUUCCACCAUCUAGGCCUUUCAUUAAAUGAUACGAAUAAUUACAAUAGGAUGUGCCUGUCACAGACAGUACAUUAAGGAAAUUGAUGGAAAAUCCUAGUGAAUAUAUUUACAAGAAACAUUUGCUAUUACAUUAAAAAAGCUAAUAAAUCAUCUUGAACGACUAUAUUUACAAAAACAUCAUUUAAUAUAAACUCCUUGUCUGUCAACUUAGUGACAGUACUUUUGAGAUGCUCAGUAUUCUAUUGGCUGCCUAGUGGCUUCCCUCUCAAGUGUUUUAGGCUGUAAGCUCCUUUUCCAAGGCUACAAAUCACCUCGUAUGGUACUUCCCAAUUUGGCCUGAACUUGGAUAGAGGGUGCCCCACUGCCGCUAUUUCCCUUAGUACGAGAUCUCCUAGCUGAAAGUCCUUGGUCUCCUUUCGAUUAAAGUAUUUGGCGGCCUUUCGCUUGUAAGCUACCAUCCUCAUAGUUGUUUUCUCUCUUACUCCAUCAAAUUAGUCGAGUUCCGCGCUGGUAGCCAUGAUGUCGAGCUGUUUGACUUUCAUUCCACGAAUUUUGUAGAAGAUUUACACGAGGACAACGGCUUCAAUCUUGAAAGACAACUUGAAAGGUGUUUUUCCCGUUGAUUCCCACAAGGUCGUGUGAUAUGCCCACAACACAUUAGUUAAUUUCUCUGCCCACAGUCCCUUUUCCUUUUCCAGUCUUGUCUUUAAAUCCCAUAAUAUUGCCCAAGUUGUUACUUUCGCCUGCCUAUUUGAUUGCGGUUGAGCGACGAAAGUAAGUUUGUGGUUUAUGUGAUAAUUUGCACAGAAAGCUUUGAAGUCAUGAUUGUCGAACUGUCUACCGUUGUCAGUUAUGAGAACUUUUGAUAUGCCAAACUUGCAUAUAAUAUUCCUCCACGUGAAACUCUGUACUUUAGUCGUUGUGAUUGUAGCUAAAGGUUUCACCUCAACCUAUUUGGUAAAAUAAUCGAUGGCCACUAGGAAGAACUUUCUUUGCCCUUUGGCCACAGGUAAAGGCCCAAAAUAUCCAUUCCCUACUGAAAGAAAGAGAAUAACCAGAAAUGACUGACUAUUGCUUGGUUGGAACAUGAAUCAAAUUUUCAUGACGUUGACACGCAUCACAUUUUAUCACUAAUUCUUUUGCAUUCUCCUUCAUAAUAGGCCAAUAGUACCCCUGUUGUAGAGCUUUGAAUGCAAGGAUAAUAACCCCUUUAUGGUUGUUGUAAAUUCCUAUAUGUAUUUCCAAUAACGCUUCACGUGCCUCAAUUGUGCUCAAGCACGGCAAAAUGAAACCUAGCUUAUAGAACUGACCAUCAAUGAUGGCGAAUAAGGCUAUUCAAUUUUCGGUCUCUUAGCCUCAAAAACAUCCUUUGGUAAUUUAUCUUCCACAUGAUAAUCGAUUAGAGGGUCCAUCCAACUUUUCUCAUGCUCCAUGUGUGCUACGCUUGGCUAUUGCAGGACUUGUACCUUUACCAUGCUACGCAGAUUUUUUUGAAUUUUGAUAAUAACGUAAAUUUUUAUGUCUUUCAUCCAUUUAUACUUGUAUUUGUACAAUAAAUUGAUGCCUAAAUGCAUUAGGUACCUUUAUAUCUUGAUUUAGGUUGCAAAGUGGAUGAAUACGAUGGAAAAUACAAGAAAUAAGUGAAAAAAAGACUAAAGUGGAAGAAAUUGGAAGUGCAGGGACCAAGUUGCAAAUAAUUUAAAGAUGAGAUGGGCGAUGGAAUGAUGAUUCCAGAAGGCAAGGGGUAAAUUGGGUACAAUUAGAAGUCAAAAAAAGUGAAAUAUGACCACAACAUUUUCACAAAACAAUUUUCAACUGUACAAAGAUGUUCCAGAUUUUCAACCGGAGAUUGAGAUUCAUUUUUGACCUAGUAAAUGUUCGAAUUGGAAAAGGGAUACCCUCUAGAAAUAUUAUAUCUCUUUGCAUUAUCUUUCCAACGCACUUUAAAUUGCCUCAAUCGAAUAUCGGGAGAUAAAGUUAUGAACAAAAUAUUGAAAGCUGUCUGGCAGAGAAAAAUGGCAACAACCAUGUGACCGCACAACUUUAUACCAUGCGAUCGCACAUAGUGUUAUAGACAAAUUGAUGGCUGAAAAUUGUUGUUUCAUGUGACCACAACACCAAUAACCAUGCAGUCGCAUAGUUCAACUCUGAGGCGAGAAUCUUGGUUUCCUAAUUUUAAUCAAACAUUUAUUGAAACAAAUCUCUUUCAUGAUAUUUAAGCCCUAGAACAUCCCAAAAUGCAGAAUACACAUCUCUAUACUUAUUUUUCUCUAGUUUUUGUGCAAGAUAUCCAUGGAGAACUAAAGAUCUCGAUGAAGCUACGAAGGAACUCAAUCCUGACGAUUUCAAAAUCUUUUAAUUCAUGUAAUUUGCUUUUUCAUUGUCAAACAAUUCUAGGGUUUAAUUUCCUUAUUACAAAUAUGUUUUGAAAUUCGUUUAACGUUUAUUAGAUUCAAUCAUGGUUUUCCCAUUG
rnacentral:lncRNA from 1 species